AUACGGAGGGCGCAAGCGUUGUUCGGAAUCAUUGGGCGUAAAGCGCGCGUAGGCGGCUAGGUAAGUCGGGUGUGAAAUCCCGGGGCUCAACCCCGGAACUGCACUCGAAACUGCCUGGCUAGAGUCUCGGAGAGGAAGGCGGAAUUCCCGGUGUAGAGGUGAAAUUCGUAGAUAUCGGGAGGAACACCAGUGGCGAAGGCGGCCUUCUGGACGAUGACUGACGCUGAGGUGCGAAAGCGUGGGGAGCAAACAGGAUUAGAAACCCCAGUAGUCC
rnacentral:rRNA from 1 species